GCUCCCAUAGCUUAACGGAUAAAGUAGCGGUCUUCGGAACCGUUGAUGGGGGUUCGAUUCCCUCUGGGAGCG
rfam:Parcubacteria (Magasanikbacteria) bacterium GW2011_GWA2_42_32 TV20_C0012, whole genome shotgun sequence.